ACGGGGGGGGGGGAGAGGUGGGAAGGAAAAAUUGGAGGUAGGGUGAGGGAAGGGGAGGGUUGAAGGGAAAAUAAUGAAACAGAGGAAAAAAGAGAAUAACAAGUAAAAAGCAAUGCAUGUAAAUACAGAGCAAGCAAGUAGGAAAGCUAGGCAUAGCACAGCAAAAGAGAGCAAAGCAAAAGAAGGCAAAGAAUGACAAAAAGCAACCUUGCAGGAAUGGAGGAAUCUGUCCAGAGCUGUGCCCCUGCUUGCCACAGGAGCUGCGCGGGAGGAGAAGAACGUGGGCCAAAAGGAAUGGAGGAAUCUGUCCAGAGCUGUGCCCCUGCUUGCCACAGGAGCUGCGCGGGAGGAGAAGAACGUGGGCCAAAAGGUAAGAGGAGCUCCUUUGGGUUCUGGGCUUGAAGCAAAGCUGAGAAGCCAUGCCCGGGAGGAGGUGUGGGUAGCUACAGGCCACCUUGCUAUCUCCAAGAGAUGAGGUGUGUGGGCUAGGCACCGGGCAGGAGUGCUGGCCAGAAGCAAGCAUCUCUGUGGAGGAAGGCAAAGGGCGGAGGAGGUUCAAGGGUAGCUACCGGGCAUGGCCUUGCUCAGCAAGGGGAGGAAAAGCCUGAAGGGCACGAGAAGGGGAUAGAGAAGGGCAGGCAGUAGGCGUGAAGCUGCGAGCAGAGUAGAGAGCAACUUGGCAGAGCAGCAAGCAGAGUAGGCAAGUGUUGAGGUUUGGCGUGAGUAGCAGCAAAAGCCCAGAGCAUCAAGAAGCAGGAAGUGAGGAGAAGGUAAGUGAAGGGCAGGCAAGGUAAUGGGAGGCAAAGGCAAGGGGAAAGGGGGGGGUAAGGGAGAAAGAGGGAUGGGGAUGGGGAGGGGAUGGGUGAAGAGCAGAGCGGAGGGAAGGGCUGAGGGGAGGGCUGAAGGCAAACCUAUGAUGAAAAAAGAAAAGAAAAAAUAAGAACAAAAAAUAUGAAAAAGAGAAAAAAAGAAAGAAAAAUAAGAAAAAGAGAAAAAUGAAAAGAAAAAGAAAAAAAUGAACAAAAAAGAGAAAAAGAGAAAAAUGAAAAAAGAGAAAAAAGAGAAAAAAAAGAAAAAAUGAACAAAAAGAGAAAAAGAGAAAAAAAAAGAAAAAAAGAGAAAAGAAAGAAAAAAAGAACAUGCAAAAAGAGAAAAAAAGAAAAGAUAAAAAAAGAAAAGAAAAGAAAAGAGAAAGAAAAAAGAAAAUAGAAAUAAAAAAGAGAACAGAAAAAUAUGAAAAAAAGAAAAAAGAAAAAAAGAAAAGAAAAAAACAGUAGAUGAAAAAAGAAAAAACAAAAGGAAAAACGAAUAAUGACAAGAGAAGAAAGGUAAAGAGAAAAGAAGAAAAAAGCCAAGUCAAAAAGUAAAGAAUAACUCGAAGGAAGGAGUGGAUGGCAAGAAAUACAGAGAAAGCAGUGCAUAGCACAGCAGAGCAAAGCAAGGCAAAAUAGCAGCCAAAGCCACGAGAAUCAAGAAGUCAGUGAAGAGCAGGAAAGGUAAGUUUCCCUUAAAGCAAGGGGGAAUGGUAGUGGAAGGGAGAAAAGAGAGGGGAGGGGAGGGGAAGGGAAGUGAAGGAGUGGGGGAGAGGGGGAGGAGCAGUGGGGAAAGCGGUGGGGCUAGAGGGGGGUGAGGGGGCAAGAGGGGGGAGGGAGGAGGGGUGGAGAGGGGGGUGAGUAAGUGGGGGUGGGUGGACGGGGGGGGGGAGAGAGGGUGGAAGGAAAAAUUGGAGGUAGGGUGAGGGAAGGGGGAGGGUUGAAGGGAAAAUAAUGAAACAGAGGAAAAAAGAGAAUAACAAGUAAAAAGCAAUGCAUGUAAAUACAGAGCAAGCAAGUAGGAAAGCUAGGCAUAGCACAGCAAAAGAGAGCAAAGCAAAAGAAGGCAAAGAAUGACAAAAAGCAACCUUGCAGGAAUGGAGGAAUCUGUCCAGAGCUGUGCCCCUGCUUGCCACAGGAGCUGCGCGGGAGGAGAAGAACGUGGGCCAAAAGGUAAGAGGAGCUCCUUUGGGUUCUGGGCUUGAAGCAAAGCUGAGAAGCCAUGCCCGGGAGGAGGUGUGGGUAGCUACAGGCCACCUUGCUAUCUCCCCAAGAGAUGAGGUGUGUGGGCUAGGCACCGGGCAGGAGUGCUGGCCAGAAGCAAGCAUCUCUGUGGAGGAAGGCAAAGGGCGGAGGAGGUUCAAGGGUAGCUACCGGGCAUGGCCUUGCUCAGCAAGGGGAGGAAAAGCCUGAAGGGCACGAGAAGGGGAUAGAGAAGGGCAGGCAGUAGGCGUGAAGCUGCGAGCAGAGUAGAGAGCAACUUGGCAGAGCAGCAAGCAGAGUAGGCAAGUGUG
rnacentral:lncRNA from 7 species